rnacentral:pre_miRNA from 1 species
UCUUAUGGAUGAGCAAAGAAAAUGGUUUCUUGAGAUGGAAUCCAGCCCCGGUGAAGAUGCUGUGAA